rnacentral:rRNA from 1 species
AGCAGCCGCGGUAAUUCCAGCUCCAAUAGCGUAUAUUAAAGUUGUUGCAGUUAAAAAGCUCGUAGUUGAACUUCGGGGUCUACCCAUUGGUCAGGCUUAAUUGUCUGUACUGGUGAGAUGGAUCUCUACCUUCUGAGGAACUUUCAUGCCAUUUAUUUGGUGUGAUUGGAAAUCAGGACUGUUACUUUGAAAAAAUUAGAGUGUUUAAAGCAGACUAUCGUCUGAAUACAUUAGCAUGGAAUAAUGAAAUAGGACGGACUGAUUCUAUUUCGUUGGUUUCUAGGAUCACCGUAAUGAUUAAUAGGGAUAGUUGGGGGCAUUAGUAUUC